rnacentral:rRNA from 1 species
UAGGGAAUCUUCCACAAUGGGCGCAAGCCUGAUGGAGCAACACCGCGUGAGUGAAGAAGGGUUUCGGCUCGUAAAGCUCUGUUGUUGGAGAAGAACGUGCGUGAGAGUAACUGUUCACGCAGUGACGGUAUCCAACCAGAAAGUCACGGCUAACUACGUGCCAGCAGCCGCGGUAAUACGUAGGUGGCAAGCGUUAUCCGGAUUUAUUGGGCGUGAAGCGAGCGCAGGCGGUUGCUUAGGUCUGAUGUGAAAGCCUUCGGCUUAACCGAAGAAGUGCAUCGGAAACCGGGCGACUUGAGUGCAGAAGAGGACAGUGGAACUCCAUGUGUAGCGGUGGAAUGCGUAGAUAUAUGGAAGAACACCAGUGGCGAAGGCGGCUGUCUGGUCUGCAACUGACGCUGAGGCUCGAAAGCAUGGGUAGCGAACAGG